AGUGAACGCUGGCGGUAGGCCUAACACACGCAAGUCGAACGGCAGCACAGUAAGAGCUUGCUCUUACGGGUGGCGAGUGGCGGACGGGUGAGGAAUACAUCGGAAUCUACUUUUUCGUGGGGGAUAACGUAGGGAAACUUACGCUAAUACCGCAUACGACCUACGGGUGAAAGCAGUGGAUCUUCGGACCUUGCGCGAUUGAAUUAGCCGAUGUCGGAUUAGCUAGUUGGCGGGGUAAAGGCCCACCAAGGCGACGAUCCGUAGCUGGUCUGAGAGGAUGAUCAGCCACACUGGAACUGAGACACGGUCCAGACUCCUACGGGAGGCAGCAGUGGGGAAUAUUGGACAAUGGGCGCAAGCCUGACCCAGCCAUACCGCGUGGGUGAAGAAGGCCUUCGGGUUGUAAAGCCCUUUUGUUGGGAAAGAAAAGCAGUAGGUUAAUACCCCGCUGUUCUGACGGUACCCAAAGAAUAAGCACCGGCUAACUUCGUG
rnacentral:rRNA from 1 species